CCACCGGCCUAUAUUCUAGUGAAGGUUCCUUACUUGUGGUUGCUGUUUAGCACCCUCUCUCUCUCUCUCUCUGUCUGUCAACUGGUAACGACGCUACAGUCUCGUGUCAAUCUAAAACUCUCAUUUUCUUUUUCUGUUCCAAAUAAACUAUUUGGAAACUGCACACACCCGUAUUGUGCUUAUUCGAUUCUGGUUAUGGGCCCAGAACGUUCUAACCUCUGAAAUUUCACAAGAUGUCGACACUGAGAGAAGUAAGCCACAUAGCAAAAUUUAACGGACAAAACUUUCCUCUAUGGAAGUUUGGCUGCUGGUUGUUACUCGAACAACACCAGUUGGUUAAGAUUGUAAAUGGACAAGAAAGACUUCCUGCUGAGACUCUCAAUGCAGAUCGUGUAGUCACAAAUGCUGAAGUAAGAGCUCGUUGGCAAGAAAGAGACAUCUUGGCCAGAAACUAUCUAGUUGCUACAAUUGAGACUCAACAACAACGAGCAUUGGUCAA